rnacentral:rRNA from 1 species
UACGUAGGGGGCAAGCGUUGUCCGGAAUCAUUGGGCGUAAAGAGCGUGUAGGCGGCUCGGUAAGUCCGCUCUGAAAGCCCGGGGCUCAACCCCGGGAGGCGGGCGGAUACUGUCGAGCUAGAGUCCGGAAGAGGCGAGUGGAAUUCCUGGUGUAGCGGUGAAAUGCGCAGAUAUCAGGAGGAACACCAAUGGCGAAGGCAGCUCGCUGGGACGGUACUGACGCUGAGAAGCGAAAGCGUGGGGAGCGAACAGG